CACCGCGGUUAGACGAGAGGCCCAAGCUGACAGUUCACGGCGUAAAGAGUGGUUAAGGUCAACUACAUAAACUAAAGCCGAAAACCCACAAAACUGUUAUACGUUCACGAGGCUAUGAAGCUCAACUACGAAAGUGGCUUUAUUAUCCUGACCCCACGAAAGCUAGGGCA
rnacentral:rRNA from 1 species